rnacentral:rRNA from 1 species
AACGAACGCUGGCGGCAGGCUUAACACAUGCAAGUCGAGCGCCCCGCAAGGGGAGCGGCCUACGGGUGAGUAACGCCUGGGGACUUACCUUUUGGUUCGUAACAACUCCGGGAGACUGGAGUUAAUACCGGAUAAGCCCUAACGGAGACAGAUUUAUCGCGGAAAGAUCGGCGCGCAUGUGAUUAGCUGGUUGGUGAGGUCACGGGUCACGAAGGCGACGAUCAGUAGCUGGUCUUAGAGGAUGAGCCGCCACACUGGGACUGAGACACGGUCCGGAAUCCUACGGGAGGGAGCAGUGGGGGAUAUUGGAAAAUGGGCGGAAUGAUGAUGGAGCCAGGACGGGUGAGUGAUGAAGGCCGUAGGGUAGUAAAGCUCUUUUGUCCGGGAAGAUAAUGACUGUACCGGAAGAAUAAGCCCCGGCUAACUUCGUG